rnacentral:lncRNA from 1 species
UGAAGAAGCCGUGCCUAGACCUUCCCACAAGGCCAUGAUAAAUCGUAUGAGAGUCAGCUGACCCCCCAGAUAUGUGAAUACAGCCAAGAUUAUCUAAACAGCCCAAUAGACCCAAGACUGACUGGAGAUGUAUGUGAGCUAGCAAAGAUCAGCCAAGACCAGACCCAGAUCCUCUGAGCCCUGCAAGCUCAUGAGCUAAGUGGCUCAUCACGAGCAAACAUUCCCCAUGUGUUCCAGUUCAUGUUUCUUCUGAAAGUCGUGUGCUCAGUUUCCCCAAAGCCAUAGAUGUACUGAGAUGGCAGACGCGUAGAAAUGGAGAGAAACAUGUCAUUGAAGGUGAAGCCAGGGAGUUGAGAAUCCCAGCUGCAACACAAAAGCAGACCACGCUGAGCUGGAGACCACUGGCCAGAGCUACUUGUAAUGUGUUUGGAAUGUCUAGUUGAUUCCAAAGCCUCCUUAAUUAUUGCACAUUUCAAUCCAGGUUCAAAUAUGGUGACAUGAUCCAGGUCAUAACAAUGGCCCUGACUCAAGACCAAAGUUCCAUGUUACAUUUCUGUUCUGUGGUUUGUCAGACUGAGAGCUCCUUUUCUGGGUCCUUGUGGGCAAGGGCCAUAACUCAUUCUUCUAUUUAUUUCAAGUUCUCAGUGCCUGGAAUAUCAGCUUGAGUA